rnacentral:rRNA from 1 species
UACGUAGGGGGCAAGCGUUAUCCGGAUUUACUGGGUGUAAAGGGUGCGUAGGCGGCAUGGUAAGUCAGAUGUGAAAACUUGGGGCUCAACUUCAAGAUUGCAUCUGAAACUGCUAAGCUAGAGUGCAGGAGAGGAAAGUGGAAUUCCGAGUGUAGCGGUGAAAUGCGUAGAGAUUCGGAGGAACACCAGUAGCGAAGGCGACUUUCUGGACUGUAACUGACGCUGAGGCACGAAAGCGUGGGGAGCGAACAGG